AUUGAACGCUGGCGGCAUGCCUUACACAUGCAAGUCGAACGGUAACAGGGUGCUUGCACCGCUGACGAGUGGCGAACGGGUGAGUAAUGCGUCGGAACGUGCCGAGUAGUGGGGGAUAACGCAGCGAAAGUUGUGCUAAUACCGCAUACGUACUGAGGUAGAAAGUGGGGGACCUUCGGGCCUCACGCUAUUCGAGCGGCCGACGUCUGAUUAGCUAGUAGGUGAGGUAAAGGCUCACCUAGGCGACGAUCAGUAGCGGGUCUGAGAGGAUGGUCCGCCACACUGGGACUGAGACACGGCCCAGACUCCUGCGGGAGGCAGCAGUGGGGAAUUUUGGACAAUGGGCGAAAGCCUGAUCCAGCCAUGCCGCGUGUCUGAAGAAGGCCUUCGGGUUGUAAAGGACUUUUGUCAGGGAGGAAAUCCCUAGUGCUAAUAACACUGGGGGAUGACAGUACCUGAAGAAUAAGCACCGGCUAACUACGUGCCAGCCGCCGCAGUAA
rnacentral:rRNA from 1 species